UACAGAGGUCUCAAGCGUUGUUCGGAUUCAUUGGGCGUAAAGGGUGCGCAGGUGGUCGGGUAAGUCUGAUGUGAAAUCCCGCAGCUUAACUGCGGAAUGGCAUUGGAUACUAUUCGGCUAGAGGGUUGGAGGGGGGACUGGAAUUCUCGGUGUAGCAGUGAAAUGCGUAGAUAUCGAGAGGAACACCAGUGGCGAAGGCGAGUCCCUGGACAACUCCUGACGCUGAGGCACGAAAGCUAGGGGAGCAAACAGG
rnacentral:rRNA from 1 species